AACGAACGCUGGCGGCAUGCCUAACACAUGCAAGUCGAACGAGACCUUCGGGUCUAGUGGCGCACGGGUGCGUAACGCGUGGGAACCUGCCCUUAGGUUCGGAAAAACUCCCCGAAAGGGGUGCUAAUACCGGAUAAUGUCUUCGGACCAAAGAUUUAUCGCCUUUGGAUGGGCCCGCGUUGGAUUAGCUAGUUGGUAGGGUAAAAGCCUACCAAGGCGACGAUCCAUAGCUGGUCUGAGAGGAUGAUCAGCCACACUGGGACUGAGACACGGCCCAGACUCCUACGGGAAGCAGCAGUGGGGAAUAUUGGACAAUGGGCGAAAGCCUGAUCCAGCAAUGCCGCGUGAGUGAUGAAGGCUUUAGGGUUGUAAAGCUCUUUUACCCGGGAUGAUAAUGACAGUACCGGGAGAAUAAGCUCCGGCUAACUCCGUG
rnacentral:rRNA from 1 species